GACGAACGCUGGCGGCGUGCCUAAUACAUGCAAGUAGAACGCUGAAGAGAGGAGCUUGCUCUUCUUGGAUGAGUUGCGAACGGGUGAGUAACGCGUAGGUAACCUGCCUGGUAGCGGGGGAUAACUAUUGGAAACGAUAGCUAAUACCGCAUAAAAUUGAUUAUUGCAUGAUAAUUAAUUGAAAGAUGCAAUUGCAUCACUACCAGAUGGACCUGCGUUGUAUUAGCUAGUUGGUGAGGUAACGGCUCACCAAGGCGACGAUACAUAGCCGACCUGAGAGGGUGAUCGGCCACACUGGGACUGAGACACGGCCCAGACUCCUACGGGAGGCAGCAGUAGGGAAUCUUCGGCAAUGGACGAAAGUCUGACCGAGCAACGCCGCGUGAGUGAAGAAGGUUUUCGGAUCGUAAAGCUCUGUUGUAAGAGAAGAACGAGUGUGAGAGUGGAAAGUUCACACUGUGACGGUAUCUACCAGAA
rnacentral:rRNA from 1 species